UACGAGGGGGGCAAAUGUUGUUCGGAAUCACUGGGCGUAAAGGGAGCGUAGGCGGGUUUUUAAGUCAGGUGUUUAAUCCCAGGGCCCAACCCCGGACAGGCACUUGAAACUGGGAAUCUUGAAUAGUGGAGAGGUCGGUGGAAUUGGGGGUGUAGCGGUGGAAUGCGUAGAGAUCCCCAAGAACACCCGUUGCGAAGGCGGCCGACUGGACACAUAUUGACGCUGAGGCUCGAAAGCAUGGGGAGCAAACAGG
rnacentral:rRNA from 1 species